UGAGGAAUAUUGGGCAAUGCCCGCAAGGGUGACCCAGCAACGCCGCGUGGAGGAUGAAUGUCGUAAGAUUGUAAACUCCUGUUAGAGGGGAAGAAUAGUACCGGUUGGACCGGUAUAUGACUGUACCCUCAGAGAAAGCCCCGGCUAACUACGUGCCAGCAGCCGCGGUAAUACGUAGGGGGCAAGCGUUGUCCGGAUUUACUGGGUGUAAAGGGCGCGCAGGCGUGAUAAAAAGUCAGUGGUGAAAUUCUACAGCUUAACUGUAGAACUGCCUUUGAUACUUUUAUUCUUGAGUUCGGGAGAGAGAGACGGAAUUCCAGGUGUAGUGGUGAAAUACGUAGAUAUCUGGAAGAACACCAGUUGCGAAGGCGGUCUCUUGGUCCGACACUGACGCUGAGGCGCGAAAGCGUGGGGAGCAAACA
rnacentral:rRNA from 1 species